UUUAGAAUGAAAGCUCCCAAACUGAGACAGUUAUUAAUCUGCGUUAGCAAGAGCAUGGUGUAACUUCAGCAUCUGAUUCAAUCCUACAGACGUGUGGAACUUCAGACCACUUCCAGGACUGGAAAUCUUCAUGGGCAGAAAAGAAAAAGUGAACAAGCUACAGAAGUCAGUCAUUUCAGCAUUAGCCCGGUAAGCUCAAUGGAUGAGAAAAGAAAUCACUUGCAUACAGUAAGUACAUGAAAACUGGUGGUUUUCAUUAAA
rnacentral:lncRNA from 1 species